rnacentral:rRNA from 1 species
AGUUUGAUCCUGGCUCAGAUUGAACGCUGGCGGCAUGCCUAACACAUGCAAGUCGAACGGCAGCACGGGGGCAACCCUGGUGGCGAGUGGCGGACGGGUGAGGAAUGCAUAGGAAUCUGCCCAGUUGUGGGGGAUAACGUAGGGAAACUUACGCUAAUACCGCAUACGACCUACGGGUGAAAGAGGGGGACCUUCGGGCCUCUCGCGAUUGGAUGAGCCUAUGCCGGAUUAGCUAGUUGGCGGGGUAAAAGCCCACCAAGGCGACGAUCCGUAGCUGGUCUGAGAGGAUGAUCAGCCACACUGGAACUGAGACACGGUCCAGACUCCUACGGGAGGCAGCAGUGGGGAAUAUUGGACAAUGGGCGCAAGCCUGAUCCAGCAAUGCCGCGUGUGUGAAGAAGGCCUUCGGGUUGUAAAGCACUUUUGUUUGGGAAGAAAUCCGGUUGGUUAAUACCCGAUCGGGAUGACGGUACCAAAAGAAUAAGCACCGGCUAACUUCGUGCCAGCAGCCGCGGUAAUACGAAGGGUGCAAGCGUUAAUCGGAAUUACUGGGCGUAAAGCGUGCGUAGGUGGUUUGUUAAGUCAGAUGUGAAAGCCCUGGGCUCAACCUGGGAACUGCAUUUGAUACUGGCAGGCUAGAGUGCGGUAGAGGGUGGUGGAAUUCCCGGUGUAGCGGUGAAAUGCGUAGAGAUCGGGAGGAACAUUCGUGGCGAAGGCGGACACCUGGACCAGCACUGACACUGAGGCA